GCUAGAAGGUCAUUCUCGACCACAGCGUCUUUUAUUGUGGGGGUCUGCCUGAAAGCUCUCUCCCCCUGCAGGGCAGGGUUACUUUGAGCGCUGCCUCACUUCCAUCUGAUAGUUUGUUUUACUUUGAUUGCCCGGUGAUCAAAACCAGCUGCACCGGGUGUCAGGUUAACUGUACAGCAGCCUCAGAUGACGUCAAUGACCUGAUCAGCAACAUCUAGUGACAGUGACAGCAAACGUUACUGGAACACCCUGUAGGAGAUCAACCGGGCUUUUUCCCAGUGACUUCACCACUAAAGCAUGAAGCCCACUCCUGAACGGAGAUCCCCUUGCCCAGUGUGUUUAUCACAUCUCUGCUCCACAGCCGGCACACACACAUGCACACACACGUUCAAAAGCUCGGACACAUGCUAUCCUCUCGGGUGCCUGCAGUGCUGCCAGGAAAACAGGGGGCACCAAUUAUAGCAGUCUAUUAUUCCUCUCACUUCCCAGACAGCCACAUAAAACAGCCCUCCAACCCUUAAGACCCCCCCAGGUUCAGGUCGGCAUGGCCACACAGACCCUCUAGGUCUGGGUAUGGAGGUGAGUAGAGUUGCUGGGUCACUGUGUAACCAGGCCUGCACUCUUUGCAAUGAUGAGAAAGGGUUUUUCAAUGAGUCAGAUGUGACUGGAGACACAUCCAGACAAGUCAUACUGCUGAUUGUAGAGCGGCAGCAACAGGCAGGCUGGAAAUAUGAGGAGGCGAUGGAAGAACAGAAGAAGAAGAGGUGUAGGGCAUCGCUGGUUACUCCAGUGUCUCUAUCCAUCCCGUGGUGUCAUGCUAUAUGGGAUCUAUGGUUUCCUUUUUUCAAAUGAACAUCUCAUGACAAGCGGAUAACCACACCUAAUGUAUGUUAACUUAAAUGUACACUUUGCAGCAAUUCAGAAAACUGAAUAAAAUCAAUAUGUUGAGACUAAGGUUGAACUUUAGUGCCAGGCAUGAGAAUAAAUCAGAUGAGGAAGGUUUAGUGUGUGUACUGAAAGUUCUACUUUAUUCUUGAAAUGCUACACAAAUAUAAAAAUCUCCCUCCUCUCAUUUUUCCCCCUUAUGCUCUAAUACUCUUACGUAGAUGUACACUUAACGUCAUGAAACAAAGUCACAGAGUGGAAAAGGAAUGGCACUUGGAACAAAUGAGAACUUAAGACGUUUGAAGCUCUACUGUCCUUUUAACUCAAUGACUGUCACUAAUCCAACACAGCAGAUCAGCCAGUGGCACCAACAUGUAUGUCAGGGACCUGACAGUACACUGUGCGACUGUAAGCAGUCUGUUCAUAUAGACUGUGACAUGCUGCUCAGUCAACCACAUAGGUUACUACGCAUCUGUCAAAAGCCACAACACGCUGUAUAUCUUCCACUUCCAAACUGUAUGUUCUACUAUGGCUGCUCUAUAAGUGACGGCUUUACAAAACAACAAGGAGUUCAGCCUAAAGACAGGCAGCGAGGUCAAUUAAAUAUGUUGGGUUUUUCUUUUUUAAACAAAGUUUGUACAAGACAGAAGCAAAUAAAUUGUCAAAUUG